rnacentral:rRNA from 1 species
GACGAGUCUCACGAACGUUAUUCGGAAUUACUGGGCUUAAAGGGUGCGUAGGCGGUGAAGUAAGUCGGGUGUGAAAUACCAUAGCUUAACUAUGAACUGCACUCGAUACUACUUUGCUAGAGUAAGACAGAGGUGAGUGGAACUGAGGGUGGAGCGGUGAAAUGCGUUGAUAUCCUCAGGAACUCCGGUGGCGAAGGCGGCCUGCUGGACCCCAUCUGACGCUGAGGCGCGAAAGCCAGGGGAGCGAACGGGG